rnacentral:misc_RNA from 1 species
AGGCAUGUGAAGAAGGUUUUUAUUUUUCUCAUGAAGCAUUGUUAACAAGAGCAUAUAGACAUUGAGGACUGCACCUCCUUGCUUCCUUACUUUUCCCCUUUUUCCGUAGUUUUAAGAUGAACAUAUUUUUGACUUGUUUUAUGUAGGCUAUGCUAACAUAACAUAGUUGAGUAAUCUUUCCUUUGAUAAUUAUAGUGGCAGAGUUUUAAUAUCUUGUUAUUGCUUCUAAUAUUGUAUAUAUCUUUUUGUGGCAUCAUGUACUGCAGGUAGAUGGACAAGUUGUGUUGAA